CUCAAUGACUGGAGUUCUCCAGAAUAAAGAACGUCGCCCGAAUCAGGGCA
rnacentral:sRNA from 12 species